UACGUAGGGGGCAAGCGUUGUUCGGAAUCACUGGGCGUAAAGCGCACGUAGGCGGAUGUGUCAGUCAGGGGUGAAAUCCCGGGGCUCAACCUCGGAACUGCCUUUGAUACAGCACGUCUCGAGUCCGGAAGAGGUGGGUGGAAUUCCUAGUGUAGAGGUGAAAUUCGUAGAUAUUAGGAAGAACACCGGUGGCGAAGGCGGCCCACUGGUCCGGUACUGACGCUGAGGUGCGAAAGCGUGGGGAGCAAACAGG
rnacentral:rRNA from 1 species